rnacentral:rRNA from 1 species
GACGGAGGAUGCAAGUGUUAUCCGGAAUCACUGGGCGUAAAGCGUCUGUAGGUGGUCAAAUAAGUCAACUGUUAAAUCUUGAGGCUCAACCUCCAAAAUCGCAGUCGAAACUAUUCGACUAGAGUAUAGUAGGGGUAAAGGGAAUUUCCAGUGGAGCGGUGAAAGUGCGUAGAGAUUGGAAAGAACACCGAUGGCGAAGGCACUUUACUGGGCUAUUACUAACACUGAGAGACGAAAGCUAGGGUAGCAAAUGGGG